GGGGGGGGGGGGGGGGGGGGGGGGGGGGGGGGGGGGGGGGGGGGGGGGGGGGGGGGGGGGGGGGGGUCGGGGGGGGGGCGGGUGAGGAGCGCGUGAGUAAGCUGCCCGUGGCUUUGGGAUGACUUCAGGAAACUGGGGCUACGACCGUAUAGGAGCUCGUGCUGCAUGGGGGGGGUUGGAGAGUUUCGGCGGUUGGGGAUGGACUAGCGGCUUGUCAGCUGGUUGGUGUGGUAGUGGCUUACCAAGGCUUGGCAGGGUCGCCGGCCUGAGCGGGUGACAGGCCACAUUGGGACUGAGAUACGGCCCAGACUGCUACGGGAGGCAGAAGUGGGGAAUAUUGCACAAUGGGCGGAAGCCUGAUGCAGCAACGCCGCGUGCGGGAUGACGGCCUUCGGGUUGUAAACCGCUUUCGACUGUGACGAAGCGUGAGUGACGGUAAUGGGUAAAGAAGCACCGGCUAACUACGUG
rnacentral:rRNA from 1 species